UACGUAGGGUGCGAGCGUUGUCCGGAAUUAUUGGGCGUAAAGGGCUCGUAGGCGGUUUGUCGCGUCGGGAGUGAAAACUCAGGGCUUAACCCUGAGCCUGCUCCCGAUACGGGCAGACUAGAGGUAUGCAGGGGAGAACGGAAUUCCUGGUGUAGCGGUGAAAUGCGCAGAUAUCAGGAGGAACACCGAUGGCGAAGGCAGGUCUCUGGGCAUUAACUGACGCUGAGGAGCGAAAGCAUGGGGAGCGAACAGG
rnacentral:rRNA from 1 species